GGAGACUGCCGGUGACAAACCGGAGGAAGGUGGGGAUGACGUCAAGUCAUCAUGGCCCUUACGGCCUGGGCUACACACGUGCUACAAUGGUCGGUACACAGGGUUGCCAAGCCGCGAGGUGGAGCUAAUCCCAGAAAACCAAUCGUAGUCCGGAUCGCAGUCUGCAACUCGACUGCGUGAAGUCGGAAUCGCUAGUAAUCGCGAAUCAGAAUGUCGCGGUGAAUACGUUCCCGGGCCUUGUACACACCGCCCGUGGGGCGGGGGCGG
rnacentral:rRNA from 1 species